AGCGAACGCUGGCGGCAGGCUUAACACAUGCAAGUCGAACGCCCCGCAAGGGGAGUGGCAGACGGGUGAGUAACACGUGGGAACGUACCCUUUGGUUCGGAAUAACUUGGGGAAACUCAAGCUAAUACCGGAUAAGCCCUUAUGGGGAAAGGUUUACUGCCGAAGGAUCGGCCCGCGUCUGAUUAGCUAGUUGGUGAGGUAAUGGCGCACCAAGGCGACGAUCAGUAGCUGGUCUGAGAGGAUGAUCAGCCACACUGGGACUGAGACACGGCCCAGACUCCUACGGGAGGCAGCAGUGGGGAAUAUUGGACAAUGGGGGCAACCCUGAUCCUGCCAUGCCGCGUGAGUGAUGAAGGCCUUAGGGUUGUACAGCUCUUUUACCCGGGACGAUAAUGACUGUACCGGGAGAAUAAGCCCCGGCUAACUUCGUGCCAGCCGCCGCAGUAA
rnacentral:rRNA from 1 species